UGUGUUGACGUCAACCUGCCAGUAGGGGGAGUACCACAGGGCUCCUGUCAGCACAUGAAGACAGAGCACAGAGCAGCCAGCUCUGUUUCUGCUCGCUCCUCAGACAUGCCUCCUCUGUUGUUCUCAGUGCUGCUGGCUGCUGUCAGCCUCGAAUGCAGAGCGCAGACCGACGGCGUGCUGCAACCAGAGAGAGACGUGAUGGCUGCUGAAGGAGGCAGUGCAACUCUGAACUGUCUCUAUAACACCAGUGCAUCCAACCACUAUCUCUACUGGUACAGACUGGAGGAAGGCAGCAGCCCCACAUUCAUCCUGAGUCGCUUCAAGAUUGGAGACGGGAAAACGGUGGAGAAGAGAUUUUCCUCCAGCCUGGAUGCCACUGCUAGAUCGGUUCCUCUGACGAUCCAGGAUCUCCGUCCGUCAGACUCUGCUGUGUACUACUGCGCUCUGCAGCCCACAGUGACAGGAAACACCAGAACCCUGUACAAAAACCUGCAAUACUCCACAGCAGCCAGUAGAGGGCCUCACUCCCUGUUAAACCACUAAAACCUGCAGUACUCCACAGCAGCCAGUAGAGGGCCUCACUCCCUGUUAAACCACUAAAACCUGCAGUAUUCCACAGCAGCCAGUAGAGGGCCUCGCUCCCUCUGUUUGGUUGAAUUCAGUCUGAAACAGACCUCUGUGUGUUUGGCUCAUCAGUUUGAGAUGAAAAUGUGGAAACCAGGAAGUGAGUUUGGUGAAUCAUUAAAGUAAAAAGAUAUUUAAAAAGAAUUAAUGAAUUUGACUUGAAAUCCAAUCAACAAUUUCUGAAAAAUAUGACCUUUUUAUGAUAAAAUAUCAUCCAUUUUCCUCUAUGGAGUCUUUCUGCUGUUGAAAUCAUACUGAGGGAUGAA